UACGAAGGGGCUAGCGUUGUUCGGAAUUACUGGGCGUAAAGCGCACGUAGGCGGAUCGAUCAGUCAGGGGUGAAAUCCCAGGGCUCAACCCUGGAACUGCCUUUGAUACUGUCGAUCUGGAGUAUGGAAGAGGUGAGUGGAAUUCCGAGUGUAGAGGUGAAAUUCGUAGAUAUUCGGAGGAACACCAGUGGCGAAGGCGGCUCACUGGUCCAUUACUGACGCUGAGGUGCGAAAGCGUGGGAGCAACAGG
rnacentral:rRNA from 1 species